rnacentral:rRNA from 1 species
CCGCGGUAAAACCGGUUACUCCUACGGGAGGCAGCAGUGGGGAAUAUUGCACAAUGGGCGAAAGCCUGAUGCAGCGACGCCGCGUGAGCGAAGAAGGCCUUCGGGUCGUAAAGCUCUGUCCUAUGGGAAGCGGUACCAUAGGAGGAAGCCCCGGCUAACUAC